GAUGAAGAACGCAGCGAAAUGCGAUAAGUAAUGUGAAUUGCAGAAUUCAGUGAAUCAUCGAAUCUUUGAACGCACAUUGCGCCCCCUGGUAUUCCGGGGGGCAUGCCUGUUCGAGCGUCAUUUCACCACCCAAGCCUCGCUUGGUAUUGGGCAACGCGGUCCGCCGCGUGCCUCAAAUCGACCGGCUGGGUCUUCUGUCCCCUAAGCGUUGUGGAAACUAUUCGCUAAAGGGUGUUCGGGAGGCUACGCCGUAAAACAACCCCAUUUCUAAGGUUGACCUCGGAUCAGGUAGGGAUACCCGCUGAACUUAAGCAUAUCAAUAAGCGGAGGA
rnacentral:misc_RNA from 1 species